rnacentral:lncRNA from 1 species
AUCCAUGGAAUAAACUUGAUGCUUUGAUUUUUGUGUGUAAUUUGUCAUCAGUAAUUUUCUCAAUCACAUUACAAAAUGACAAAUCAACUAGUUCAGCCUCAGCAUUUCUGCGGUAUUUUACAUUGCUGCGACCAAUCAAAGCUAUCCAAAAAGUAAAGAAACUAAAAAUUGUUUUUCAAUGCAUGGUUUACUCAUUAAAAAAUGUUGCAUUUGUUUUGAUUAUUACACUUCUGAUGUUGUUUAUCUUUGCUUGUAUUGGAGUGCAGCUUUUUCA